UCUUGGACCAGAAGACUUCGAAGAUCCCGAAGACUUUGUUGAGUGACGCAAGCAGCCCCUUGACCAUGACUUGAAACCUUUUUUGCAUGGAAUAUAGCACCUACCUUCUUGCUAUAACUCAUGAUGACUAUGGUGACCACCUUUGUGGGUUGCCACGUUAAUUCCUCAUUGAUACUUGCAUGACAUAACUUUACUUGUGCUUAGAGUUGUGUUGUUGGGAAGUAGAUCGGUUGCUGAGUAGAUGCCACACAAAUGCGAUGGAAAUAUGCAUGGUGUCGGAAAGGAAAUGUUUUCAAAGACUUUUCGAAAACCCCGUCGGGUGCCACUAAUGCUCGAGGGAGAUGGUGUUGAGCUAGGUAACCAGUUAAGAAAGAAGUGGUGUACCGAGGCAAGUGAGUGUGUGGUUUUGGAAUACAGAUCGGUUUAAGUUACAACCACGAUACCCCUUAUGGGGCGGGGCUUUGUUGAUUACUAUGGUUGGU
rnacentral:lncRNA from 1 species